rnacentral:rRNA from 1 species
AUACGGAGGAUGCGAGCGUUAUCCGGAUUUAUUGGGUUUAAAGGGAGCGUAGGUGGGAUAUUAAGUCAGCUGUGAAAGUUUGGGGCUCAACCUUAAAAUUGCAGUUGAUACUGGUUUCCUUGAGUACGGUACAGGUGGGCGGAAUUCGUGGUGUAGCGGUGAAAUGCUUAGAUAUCACGAAGAACUCCGAUCGCGAAGGCAGCUCACCGGGCCGGAACUGACACUGAUGCUCGAAAGUGCGGGUAUCAAACAGGAUUAGAUACCCUGGUAGUCCGCACAGUAAACGAUGAAUACUCGCUGUUUGCGAUACACUGUAAGCGGCCAAGCGAAAGCGUUAAGUAUUCCACCUGGGGAGUACGCCGGCAACGGUGAAACUCAAAUGAAUCGGCGGGG